UGUGUGUUAGUGGAACGGUCUGGAAAGUCCGACGGUACAGGGUGAUAGUCCCGUACACGAAAAUGCACAUGCUGUGAACUCGAAGAGUAGGGCGGGACACGUGGUAUCCUGUCUGAAUAUGGGGGGACCAUCCUCCAAGGCUAAAUACUCCUGACUGACCGAUAGUGAACCAGUACCGUGAGGGAAAGGCGAAAAGAACCCCGGCGAGGGGAGUGAAAAAGAACCUGAAACCGUGUACGUACAAGCAGUGGGAGCCUCUUUAUGGGGUGACUGCGUACCUUUUGUAUAAUGGGUCAGCGACUUAUAUUCUGUAGCAAGGUUAACCGUAUAGGGGAGCCGAAGGGAAACCGAGUCUUAACUGGGCGUUAAGUUGCAGGGUAUAGACCCGAAACCCGGUGAUCUAGCCAUGGGCAGGUUGAAGGUUGGGUAACACUAACUGGAGGACCGAACCGACUAAUGUUGAAAAAUUAGCGGAUGACCUGUGGCUGGGGGUGAAAGGCCAAUCAAACCGGGAGAUAGCUGGUUCUCCCCGAAAGCUAUUUAGGUAGCGCCUCGUGAACUCAUCUUCGGGGGUAGAGCACUGUUUCGGCUAGGGGGCCAUCCCGGCUUACCAACCCGAUGCAAACUACGAAUACCGAAGAAUGUUAUCACGGGAGACACACGGCGGGUGCUAACGUCCGUCGUGAAGAGGGAAACAACCCAGACCGCCAGCUAAGGUCCCAAAGUCAUGGUUAAGUGGGAAACGAUGUGGGAAGGCACAGACAGCCAGGAUGUUGGCUUAGAAGCAGCCAUCAUUUAAAGAAAGCGUAAUAGCUCACUGGUCGAGUCGGCCUGCGCGGAAGAUGUAACGGGGCUAAACCAUGCACCGAAGCUGCGGCAGCGACACUAUGUGUUGUUGGGUAGGGGAGCGUUCUGUAAGCCGUUGAAGGUGUGCUGUGAGGCAUGCUGGAGGUAUCAGAAGUGCGAAUGCUGACAUAAGUAACGAUAAAGCGGGUGAAAAGCCCGCUCGCCGGAAGACCAAGGGUUCCUGUCCAACGUUAAUCGGGGCAGGGUGAGUCGACCCCUAAGGCGAGGCCGAAAGGCGUAGUCGAUGGGAAACAGGUUAAUAUUCCUGUACUUGGUGUUACUGCGAAGGGGGGACGGAGAAGGCUAUGUCAGCCGGGCGACGGUUGUCCCGGUUUAAGCAUGUAGGCGGAGGUUCCAGGUAAAUCCGGUACCUUGUUAACGCUGAGGUGUGAUGACGAGGCACUACGGUGCUGAAGUGAUAAAUGCCCUGCUUCCAGGAAAAGCCUCUAAGCAUCAGGUAACACGAAAUCGUACCCCAAACCGACACAGGUGGUCAGGUAGAGAAUACCAAGGCGCUUGAGAGAACUCGGGUGAAGGAACUAGGCAAAAUGGUGCCGUAACUUCGGGAGAAGGCACGCUGAUAUGUAGGUGAAGCCCCUGCGGGCGGAGCUGAAAUCAGUCGAAGAUACCAGCUGGCUGCAACUGUUUAUUAAAAACACAGCACUGUGCAAACACGAAAGUGGACGUAUACGGUGUGACGCCUGCCCGGUGCCGGAAGGUUAAUUGAUGGGGUUAGCGGCAACGCGAAGCUCUUGAUCGAAGCCCCGGUAAACGGCGGCCGUAACUAUAACGGUCCUAAGGUAGCGAAAUUCCUUGUCGGGUAAGUUCCGACCUGCACGAAUGGCGUAAUGAUGGCCAGGCUGUCUCCACCCGAGACUCAGUGAAAUUGAACUCGCUGUGAAGAUGCAGUGUACCCGCGGCAAGACGGAAAGACCCCGUGAACCUUUACUAUAGCUUGACACUGAACACUGGUCCUUGAUGUGUAGGAUAGGUGGGAGGCUUUGAAGCGUGGACGCCAGUCUGCGUGGAGCCGCCCUUGAAAUACCACCCUUUAAUGGCUGGUGUUCUAACGUAGACCCGUAAUCCGGGUUGCGGACAGUGUCUGGUGGGUAGUUUGACUGGGGCGGUCUCCUCCCAAAGAGUAACGGAGGAGCACGAAGGUUGGCUAAUCCUGGUCGGACAUCAGGAGGUUAGUGCAAUGGCAUAAGCCAGCUUGACUGCGAGCGUGACGGCGCGAGCAGGUGCGAAAGCAGGUCAUAGUGAUCCGGUGGUUCUGAAUGGAAGGGCCAUCGCUCAACGGAUAAAAGGUACUCCGGGGAUAACAGGCUGAUACCGCCCAAGAGUUCAUAUCGACGGCGGUGUUUGGCACCUCGAUGUCGGCUCAUCACAUCCUGGGGCUGAAGUAGGUCCCAAGGGUAUGGCUGUUCGCCAUUUAAAGUGGUACGCGAGCUGGGUUUAGAACGUCGUGAGACAGUUCGGUCCCUAUCUGCCGUGGGCGCUGGAGAAUUGAGGGGGGCUGCUCCUAGUACGAGAGGACCGGAGUGGACGCAUCACUGGUGUUCGGGUUGUCAUGCCAAUGGCACUGCCCGGUAGCUAAAUGCGGAAGAGAUAAGUGCUGAAAGCAUCUAAGCACGAAACUUGCCCCGAGAUGAGUUCUCCCUGAGACUUUAAGUCUCCUGAAGGAACGUUAAAGACGAUGACGUUGAUAGGUCGGGUGUGUAAGCGCAGCGAUGCGUUGAGCUAACCGAUACUAAUGAACCGUGAGGCUUAACCUUACAACGCCGAAG
rnacentral:rRNA from 1 species